rnacentral:rRNA from 1 species
AGCAGCCGCGGUAAUUCCAGCUCCAAUAGCGUAUAUUAAAGUUGCUGCAGUUAAAAAGCUCGUAGUUGAAUUUCGGGACCAUCAUGUCGGUCGUGCCUUGGUACGUACUGGCAUUGUUGGUUUCUACCUUCUGACGAACCAUGAUGUCAUUUAUUUGGUGUCGUGGGGAAUCAGGACUGUUACUUUGAAAAAAUUAGAGUGUUUAAAGCAGGCUCACGCUUGAAUACAUUAGCAUGGAAUAAUGAAAUAGGACGUUUGAUUCUAUUUUGUUGGUUUCUAGGAUCGACGUAAUGAUUAAUAGGGAUAGUUGGGGGCAUUAGUAUUCAAUUGUCAGAGGUGAAAUUCUUGGAUUUAUUGAAGACUAACUACUGCGAAAGCAUUUGCCAAGGAUGUUUUCAUUAAUCAAGAACGAAAGUUAGGGGAUCGAAGACGAUCAGAUACCGUCGUAGUCUUAACCAUAAACUAUGCCGACUAGGGAUCGGAUGAUGUUAAUUUUUUAAUGACUCA